CUGGCCUUUAACUUUACAAGUGAUUCUGAAGACCUUGAUUAUCUGGUUCAGCUGUGUUUCAUUAGGGUUGGAGCUGAACUCUGCAGGACAGUGGGUCUCCAGGAGCAGGGGUGAAGACCUAUGCUAUAAGAGGCUUUGUGAGAGGAUUCAAUGGGAACAUGAAAGAAGAGUCAAAAGUGCUAGAAAUGUAUUUAAGUCAUCUCUGGACACUGCUGUACAGGACUGGAUGGAUGUGGAGAGUAUGGUGCGCUUCAGGUGCCGCAAAUACCAGAUCAGACUGCCAUACCAUCCCAACCAUGGUGCAAAUGGAUCAAUGGCUGCUGAUGUUGACAUUUAUUAGGCUGUACUGAAGUUCCUGCAUUGAUAUCGACACUCAGAUGCGUCACCCAAGUACCUCAAGAGCCAAUGUGUCAAUAAUUCUGACUGAAUGCAUGCAGCACACUGCAUCACAUGACUCACGGCUGUUUUUUUCAGUUUAUUUUCUCUCCACACUUACUAACUCACUGGAAUUCUGUUUUAUCACGAAACACAUGCAGAGUUCAAAACAUCCAGCUUUAGGCUCCAGUCAGUGCUGUUCGCUGUAAAAGGUCUUUGCUUUCCUUUGAGACAUGGUAAUGGUCGCUUUCUCGUGUCAUAUUCUAUGUCAUGGAGUCUGAUCUGGUCAGAGGCAUGUUGCAACAAAAGAGCCAGAGGGAAAAGAAGGAACGGAAGUGCCUGUGUUUUUAUGGAGAUGAAAAAAUGGCUGUGGAACAGUAUUUGGGCUCUAAAGUCACAAAAAAUUUUUUUAAAUGCUGCUUUUUCUUUGGAUUUUCCAGUUCAGCAC
ensembl:lncRNA